rnacentral:RNase_MRP_RNA from 1 species
AAGGGCGUUCUGAAGACCUGCUCUCUAGGCCACAUGCUGAGGACGCUGGUUCCUCCAGGGCUCCCGAGCCCACCUAGGGGAAAGUCCCCGGACUCCAGGCAGAGAGUGCCGCUCGCUCCGCAGCGUGCAGUGACCCGCCUCGCCGGCUCAUGUUCUCCCUGCCGAGAAGCCCCCCGGGCUGAGCGGGUGGGCGCGGGAUGGGCUGCCUGUCACUCCCACAGGAAUGCAGGUAGGACUCUCAGCCUCAAGGGCUGAUAAUCUGGCAUUUU